GUGCUCGUAGCUCAGGUGGAUAGAGUGUUGCCCUCCGAAGGCAAAGGUCAUGAGUUCGACUCUCAUCGAGCACU
rnacentral:tRNA from 1 species